rnacentral:tRNA from 1 species
GGAGCGGUAUUUCAGUCGGUUAGUGUACCUGCCUGUCACGUAGGGGGUCGCGAGUUCGAGUGCCGUCCGUUCCGCCA